rnacentral:lncRNA from 1 species
GAAAAACAGACCUUCAGGAAUCUAAGAGAGAUCUAUAUUCAGUUGGCAGAGAUGCGUAAAGUGACAUUGGCUGCUGUUGUACUCAGGUAGAAAAUGUGACCAAAGACGCAGAAUGGAAGCAGAGGUCGAGGUGAGUGCAGAGCAGAAGUGAUGGCAGCACCCUUUCCGUUCCAGGGCUGAGCACAAGGAUGUGAAGCUGGACGUCCCAGACUCCACUCCAGUGAAGCCUCCUGCUGAUGAACUCAUCCUUUGAUGCCAACGAGGUGGCUUCAGAGUGACACUCCCACUGCAAUUACAGGGACAGCCUUGGCACCUUUAGGGUUGGGAUGGAAACAGCCCUGAGCCCCUCUCUGCAGUCUUUGCUUGAGGAAGCCCACAGUGAAGGACAGUGAGGAUUUGUCCUUGCAGGACACAGAAGAACACGCCUGCUCUGGGCUCUGCCAGGUGCCACUCAAAGCGCUCCCACUCGGCUCCUGCUCUGAACCAACCCCAGGAGGAGGCUGCUUCUUCCCGUGGACUCCAGCCAAGGACAAAAAUCGCAGCUCAAAUGGUUGGGGAGCAUUCAGCACUUGUUUGGAGUGGAGCAGAAAGGGGCUUUAUGUUCGAUUUCUGACUUUUUCUUUCGUGCUCUACCUUGAACUGCUUGCUGAGAUCACACAGAG